AGUGCCCAACUCGCAGCGGUAGUUACCCGCAUCCUCUGGCCUCACCAGUCGCUUGAUCAGGGUGGGCCGUUUCCCCUCGGACACCAAGGUCUCAGAAUUGCUCCCCCAAACCUAGACCCAAGCUCAAGGGGUCACAGAGGCCUGGGGAAUUCAGGGUUUGGGGCAGUACAGGUGUGAGGGCAUCACGGGCUCUCAGUGGGGGAGAUGGGAGUCCAGGGUGUACUGGUAAGGGCAUGGGGUCCCCGGGGAUCCCUAGAAGUCAAACCUGGUGGGUCAUGGGUCAUGGGGAUUGUGGCAACAAGCUUGUGGAUGAGGGGGUCGGCGCUCACACAAGCCUUAUGGACUUGGGGUUGAAGGGCCCACCCUGUAAAAGCUGUAAUAGGUCAGGCCUUGAGAUAAUUUAUGCCAGUCGAGCUCACAGUCCAGGAUCAUGUCUUCCGUUUCAUGGACAUUGAUUUGGAGCACUGGUGAGAGGGGUUGUGCUCCUUUGCCUCUUCAAGGUUCCUGGUCCUCCCUCAACUCCCUCCACUUGGUGGCGGUCCCACCUUCUCUGGUGGGCGGGCUACAGUCUCCGCCCCCCCGGGCAGCGUCACAAGUCUGGCUCCGCCCCUCUUGCGCCAACCCCUGCGGCUGCCCCAGCUCUCUCACCCCCACAAUCUCUGGAUUUUCGACAAGCGUGAAGCUGCUUUUUACAGUUACUGCACCAGAUCAGAAGCUGCAACAUUGUGCCUGAAGGGACAGGAUCCAGGCUGUAUUCGCCCUGAGAGGCGAGGCUAAAGGCAGGGCCAAGGUCUGGGGCGGAGUCAGGCCCCUAAUCCCUAGAGCUCAGCCCAAGGGGCGGGGCUAGAAGGCAGUCCUCCCUGAAGAGGGCUGUAACCAGUCUCAGGAAAGAGCGCCCAGAGAAGAGGACCCGCGGGCCAGGAAGUCCGCUGUGCAGAAGGACUACUGGGGACCAGGAACCUCUCAGACGUGGGGAAGGAAGAACCACCGAGACCCAAAGCCGGAGGAAAAAAGCGGGGUAUUCACGGGGCAAGGAUGAAGGAUAGAAAGCCAGUUCCCGUAAUCCGGACUCACCACAUUUGUUGGGACAGAAAUCUGCCUCAGAAGGAAGAAAAAACAAAACAACAACAAAAAAGGAUUAUCAGAUUCCUGUUGAAGGAGAUGAGAGGGGGGAGAAGGAAUAGGUUGCGUUUGGGCUCUUGGGAUGGAGGGAAGAAGGACACGGAUGUCUGGAUCUCUGGGUCCCAGGGAGGACGCGGUGGGGAGAAGUGAGAGGCUGGACAUAGAAAGCAGGGGCUGGGGACUUAGACCCUGGACCUGUUGGGGGAAGGGGCUGUGGUCCCUGACGGAACCCAUCUUCCCCCACCCUUUCUUUGGAACCGAGCGACAUAGCCCUGAAAGGCUGCCUUUUCCAGAGUCAACAUCCAGGAGAACUCCUUCACGAAAGUGUCAUCUGGGAAGGAGCAGGGUGACAUAGAGUGCUUCCCUUCCUCCCACCCACCCCAGGAGGAGAUGCAGGAAGUUUGCCUCCAUGUGAAGAGGCUGGCGUUCCACCUUGGGGCCAUCUCAGGGAGGGACAGUGACAUUGAGUGACCACUUAACAAUGCGGGCCACUGAGCUAAGCGGCGCCUGGCGUGCAGACACUGUUAGGACCCACUUUAGAGGUGACAAACCAGGGAAAUUCCUCUCUCAAGGCCACACAGCUAAGGGGUGGCCAGGCCUGAAGCUGAACCAAGGCAGGUGGGCUCCAGAGCCACUACCAGACCCGUCCUCACCAAAAAUCAUUUUUAUACAAGAUUCUGGAGCCCCUCCCAUGGCCCCUGUGUGGAUUUACCUGCUACACCACUGUUUCUGAUAAGACUCACACUCCUCAGAAAACUUAAGACUGACGUUUCCAUUGUGGCCUCGUCUGGAGGGACACAGAGGAUGCGGGGAGAGGAGCUAGACCUCAGAUUCCAAGCCUGAAGGUCUCAUUGGCUCAGCUAGUGUCAAAAACUACAAUACCCAUGAGGCUACUGGGCAAAGCCAGGGCUGUAAAUGGAUUGCACGCCCGUUGACUUCUGGGAGACGUAGUUUUUUUGUUUUUGUUUUUUGUGUGUGUGUGUGGGUUUGUGUGUUUGUUUUUUUACAAAAUUGCAGGGUAAGGACUAGGGAAAUAGCGUAUUCCUUUGCCCAGGGGAAGGCCUGGAAUCGGCAUCUCAGUCUUCUCCAUUCACGAACCCAGCAGACUCUGCCUCCAGCCCUUGCCUCCUGUCCCGCCCCCGCCCCCAGCAAUCCUAGCACCAGACCCCAGCUUUCCCUCCACCCUGGAUUCCCACGCUCNUCUGCCUCGAUAGAAAAAAAAAAAAAUGAGAUCAAAGAUGAAGUACUUGAGAGAAAGGACGAAGAACUACGUUUUGGGUUGGGCUCUUGGGUGGAGGGCGGAAAAACCCGGAUGUCUGGAUCUCUGGGUCCCAGGGAUCAGCAGACGGGAGGAAGUGAACACAGAGAAGCAGGGGGCUGGGGGCAGAGACCCUGGGAUUGUUGGAGGAAGGGGCUGUGGUCGCGUACAGAAGCCAUCAUCCCUCACCCUCUCGUUGGAACCGAAGGAUGUAGCUCUGAAAGGUUGCCUUUUCCCGAGUCAAUAUCUUGGAGACCUCCUUCUCGAAAGAGUCAUCUGGGAAGGAGCACGGUGACAGAGUGCUUUCCCCUCCCCACCCACCCCAGGAGGAAGUUCCUUCUGUGUGAAGAGAUUGGCAUUCCACGUUGGGGCCAUCUCAGGGAGGGACAGUGAAAAUUGAAUGACCACUUAACAAUGCCGCCGCUGAGCAAAGUGACGCCUGCAUGCAGACGCCGUUAGGACCCAUUUUGGAGGGGACAAACCUGGGAAAUUCCUCCCUCAAGGCCACACGGCAAGGGGUGACUGGGCGGGAAGCUGAACCCAGGCAGGUGGGCUCCAGAGCCACUACCAGACCCGUCCUCACCAAAAAACAUUUCUCUAAAGGUUUCUGGAGCCCCAUCCCCUGGCCCCUGCGUGGAUUUACCUGCUGCAGCACUGUUUCUGAUAAGUCUCACACUCCUCAGAAAACUUAAGACUGACGUUUCCAUUGUGGCCUCGUCUGGAGGGACACAGAGGAUGCGGGGAGAGGAGCUAGACCUCAGAUUCCAAGCCUGAAGGUCUCAUUGGCUCAGCUAGUGUCAAAAACUACAAUACCCAUGAGGCUACUGGGCAAGGUCAGGGCUGUAAAUGGAUUGCACGCCCGUUGACUUCUGGGAGAUGUAGUUUUUUGUUUUGUGGGUUUGUUGUUUUUUGUUUUUUGUUUCUUUUUUUUUUUUUUUUUUCAAAAUUGCAGGGUAAGGACUAGGGAAAUAGCGUAUUCCUUUGCCCAGGGGAAGGCCUGGAAUCGGCAUCUCAGUCUUCUCCAUUCACGAACCCAGCAGACUCUGCCUCCAGCCCUUGCCUCCUGUCCCGCCCCCGCCCCCAGCAAUCCUAGCACCAGACCCCAGCUUUCCCUCCACCCUGGAUUCCCACGCUCUACCCUGCCCUCACCGAUAACCCCCAUAAAGGUAUCCUCUAAAUAUGGCAGGUCCCGGAAAUCCCUCACGGUUUCUCUUAUCCUUUCCAUCACUUGUCUGUGACGCCCGGGGGCGAGGUGGGUAGACAGGUAUUCCUUUUCCAAGGCGUCCAGCGCGGCCACGACCCUUGGAUCACAAAUGACACAGCUCCGGGCCCGAAGCAGGCAGCCGGCUAGCGCCGCCACCAGGAGGGCUGCUUGGGGACCCAUUGAGGCCGGAGGGCUCAGCCCGCACAGAACCCCGGGGAGGGUCCUCCCACCCCACUCGGAGGAGGUGAUCGCUAAGGAGAAAGAAGCCUAUCCCUGAGACGAAGAGCCCCAAUUUGCAGGGCUCCCACUUCUCCGUUAGGAAACCGAGGUGUCCGGAGUCCCGAGGCACCCUAGACAGCCGCUGCCCGACCUUGACCUUGAAUGUUGUAGCGGAACAGCCGAAACCAGGCUGAGGGCUUUUGGAAGGGACGAGCAGGCCACCGUCUUCCACUCCCAAGACUGAAAAUAAGGAUGUUGUUGGGGAGAGGGUGACGUUGGUCACGUGAUGUGGAGGGCUUUAUGACCUGAGCCAGGGUCACCUUUCACCCCGAUCUACAAGGAAUUCCCACACCCUCCCCCUUCUACGUUACUACCUGGCCUGCCCCCCCCCCCCCCCCCCCGCCGGACUUGCCUAGAGACGACGCUCCCUGGGAGUUUUCUUGGCCCCGCCCACAAACCCAACUCUGAGUCUGAUUGGACGGCAACAAAGGGAGGCUCCGCCUAUGGUUCCGGGACAAAGCAGACAGCCCCCUCUCAGACUAGAAAGUUCAUCUGGUCCCCCCAGACUAGGCCCUCAGUGGUGGGGUUGCCGUGCUGGGGGCUGGGGUGAACUCGUAAGUCUGGGUGGAGGAGAAGGAUGGGAGCCUAGCUCAUGGGUGCUGGGAUGGAAGACUGCUGGAGACGGGCUCUUGGGUGUGGACCCCCGGAUGCCUGGGUCUUCCCCUGCCUCAGGUCCCAACAGCACCCCGGAACCCUGGCUCCCUUGGCCCUGGUGGCUUCCUGACCCCACUGUUCCUGUCAGGCUUUGCCCCAGCUCCCAGCACUGGCUGCAGGACAGGAAAAGGCAAGAGGAAACCCAUGGUAAAUGUGGGGACAGGGCUCCUUGGAGAGGACCGGACCUGGGUGGGGGUGGGGAGAAUUCGGUAGGACUGGUCCUUCCCCACUUCUUAAUUCUGGAACUACCUCUCAUUCAGUGAGGCCCUGCCACGACGAAGGGACACGGUUCCCGGUCUCUCUUUCUAGGACAGGAGACCAGCCCAGACCUCUCCUCUGGGGAAACCAAAACCGAGGAUCAGACCUGAGGAAAUGAACCUGAUGUAGAGACAACCAGAUAAAUCUUUAUUUGCGCCUUGGUACUGUGGCCUAUUCCUUUGGAAGUUUCUAAGCCUUUAGAACCUGGGUUUCUGAAAGCCAACUCUGUGAGCGCUGGUCAUGUGACAGCUGGCUCUGUGACAGCCAACUCUGUGGAAGCUGGUCCUGUGGAGCCGCUGCCUUGUCGGUGCGGAAUCUGGACUUUAUGGGAUCGAUCACCAUCCCAGACCGAAAGCAAAGUACGCUGGGGGACGGUAGGGUGCAAAGUGGGGUAACAGAUUAGGUCCUGACUGAGGGACACCCCUCCCACCCUCCCUGUAUUUGAUCCUUUUCUAGCAAUGACCCAAGCUUCGCCCAUGUGGGUGAGCCCCUCCCAGUUUUCUAAACCCCACAAGACCCCUCCCACAUUAGGAAGGUGGGGACCCCGCCCCUCACGCCAAGCCCUGCCUUCUUCGGUGGUUGGCUCACCCAGUGAAAAAUCCUAUGAUCAGCAGGAAAAAGCACCAGAGAAGCAGUCCUAUCAGACGGCCGGUCUGCACAUUUUCGUGCUUUGAACACUCUGAGGGCACGACGGUUGGGGAAAGGUCAUCCCAGAUUUCCUCCUCGGCCUCGGUUCUAAUGGCUGGUGACUGCGUUCCAAUGGUUGGUGACUGGGUUCCGAUGGUUGAUGACUGGGUUACAAUGGUUGCAGACUUGGAAGAUGUCACCAUCACCGAGAUGAUUUUCCGAGGCAACACUGAUAGAGAAGAGGAAAAGAACGGACCUGAGAGGGUCCCAAGGGCCCGUCCUGACCCAGGCAAGCUCUCGCCACGUCAACCGUCCCCAACACCCAGGCCUUCCAGGAGAUACUCCCAGCCCUAACUGCAGAAAGCAGGUCAAGGUGGCAUGGGGCCACACCCAGGCCAGGAAGCCACACCCCCGUGGCCUGAAACCACACUCUGACAGGAAGUUUUAAUCCAACUGAAUCCCCCACUUCGUUUUAAGGAAACUGAGUCCCACACUUCUGUCAACAGCACUGACCUGUGACUUCAAAACGGAUGGCCGAGAAUAGGCUCACUCCCGGAGUGCCCAACGCGCAGCGGUAGGUACCUGCAUCCGCGGGCCUCACCAGUUGCUUGGUCAGGGUGGGCCAUUUCCCCAUGUACAACAAGCUGUCAGCUUUGCUCCCCCAAACCUAGACCCAAAGCUCAAGGGGUCACAGAGGCCUGGGGAAUUCAGGGUUUGGGGGAAGUACAGGGGCGAGAGCAUCACGAGACCUCAGGGGAGAGAUGGGGGUCCAGGGUAUACCCGUAAGGGCGUGGGGUCGCCGGGGAUCCGUAGACGGCAAGCCGGGUAGGUCAUGGGUCACAGGGAUUGUGGGAACAAGCCUGUGGCUACAGGAGUCGGGGGCUCACAACCCUAAUGGACUUGGGGUUGAAGGGCCCACCCUGUAAAAGCUGUAACCGGUCGCGCCUGUAGCAAUUUUAUGCCAGUCGAGCUCACAGUCCAGGACCAGGUCUUCCUUUUCAUGGACGUUGAUUUGGCGCACUGGGGACGAGGGUAAUGGUGGGGUGCUUCCUCGUGCUUCCAGGCUCUCCAUCAACUCCCUCCAACCGGGUCUAAGCCCUUCUUUGCUAACAGGCCAGGUUCAGUCUCCGCCCUGUCAAGACUCCCUCUCUCCUGGCCCCGCCCCUCCUGCGCCAACCCCUCCCGCUGGCGCCAGCCCUCUCACCUCCACAAUCUGUGGACUUUCGACAAGGGUACGCGUGCAGCAGGCAAGAAUCGCACCACCUCAGAAGCCGCAACAAUACACCUGAAGGGGCAUGAACAAGGUUGUAAUUCGGCACCCUGAGAGAAGGGGUCACACGAAGAGGGCAGGGCCAAGGUCUGGGGCAAGGUCAGGUGCCUAAUGACUAGAGCUCAGCCCAAGGGGUGGGGCUAGAAGGCAGUCUUCCCUGAAGAGGGGUGUAACCAGUCUCAGGAAAGAGCGCCCAGAGAAGAGGACCCGCGGGCCAGGAAGUCCGCUGUGCAGAAGGACUACUGGGGACCAGGAACCUCUCAGACGUGGGGAAGGAAGAACCACCGAGACCCAAAGCCGGAGGAGAAAGGCUGGGUAUUCACGGGGCAAGGAAGAAGGAUAGAAAACCAGUUCCCAUAAUCUGGACUCACCACAUUUGUUGGGACAAGAAUCUUCAUCUGAAGAAAGGGAAGAAAUUAUUAUCAGGUUUCAAAGGUAGAGGACACCAGAGAGGGGGCCAAGGAAUAGGUGGGGGUUGGGCUCUUGGGUUGGAGGGAGGAAGGACCCGGGUGCCUGGAGUCUGGGUCCAAGGGAGGGCGCGGUCGGGAGAGGUGAGGGGCUGGACGUAGAGAAGCAGGGGGCUGGGGGCAGAGACCCUGGGACUGGUGGAGGAAGGGGCUGUGGUCCCUGACGGAGCCCAUCUUCCCUCACCUCCGUGAAACCGAGCGACAUUGCGCCGAAACGUUUCCUUUUCCCGAGUCAACAUCGCGGAGAACUCCUUCACGAAAGUGUCAUCUGGGAAGAAGCAGGGUGACAGGGAGUGCGAGCCCUCCGCUCCCCACCCCAGGAGUGAGGUACAGGAAGUUUCCUCUGUCUGAAGGGCACGCCAAUUCCCGUUGGGGACUUCUCAGGGAGCCACAAUGAAAUUGAAUGACCACUUAACCAUGCCGGCCACUGAGCUAAGCGAGGGCUGGUGUCCAGGCACCGUUAUGAUCCAUUUUAGACGUGGAAAACUUCCUUCCCGCAAAGCCACCCAGCUAGGGGAUGACUGGGCAGGUAUUUGAAGCUAGGCAGGUUGACUCCAGAGCCAAAGAUUCUGGAGCUUCUCCCCCCGCCCAUCUGUGUGCAUUUACCUCUUAAACCACGGUUUGUGAUAAGUUUCACACUCCUCAGAAAACUCGAAGCUGCCAUUUUCAUUGUGGCCUCAUCUGGAGGGGAACAGGGGAUGCAGGGAGGGGAGCUCUAACCUCAGAUUCCAAGCCUUAUGGUCUCCUUGGCUCAGCUAGUGUUACAAACUACAAUACCCAUGUGGCUCCUGGGCAAGGAUGGAGCUGUAAAGCGAUUGCCCGCCCGUUGCCUGCUGGGAGUUGUAGUUUUUAUCCAAAAUGGCAAGGUAAGGCCUAUAGGGGAAGUGUAUUCCUAGCCCUGGCAAGGCCUGGAUUCUGCAUCCCAGCCUUCUCCAUUUCCGAACCCGGUAGACUUUGCCUCCAGCGCUUCCCGUUUCUCCAUGCCUGCCCCCUCCUGCAGCAAUCCUAGCCCCCAGACCCUUCCUUUUGCCGGACCCUUCCUUUUCCCAGGCUCUAAGCUCCCCUCACCAACAGCCCCAUAUAAUGGAGGCUUUAAAUCUGACAGAUCCUUGAAAUUCCUCACGGUUUCUCUUAUUGUUUUCAUCUCUUGUCUGUGACGUUUGGGCGCCGUGUGGGUAAGGAGGUAUUCUUUAUCCAAGGAGUCUGGUGCCGCCACGACCCUCUCAUCACAUAUGAUACAGCUCCGGGCAGGAAGCAGGCAGUAGGAGGGUAGAGCCUGAAGGAGGAGACAAGGAAGGGCAACCGGGCUAUGGGCACAUAGUCCUGACUUUCCUCAGGACUCCGUAACAUAGACCGCCCAAUCAGACUGUACGUCCGUAUGUUGCCAUGUAUGGAAAGCAAAGAAUUAGAAAUUGUAUAAAAGGCCAUACCCCGCCGCACUCACGGGUCAGUUUGUUGGGGGUACCAACCCAUUGAGGCCGUGCUGGCACGAUGAAUCAAGUUGCUUCCUGGAAAGAAACGCCUAGGUGUCACGACUCUCUGUGCGGACCUUGGUGCCAUUACACAAUGGGUCAAUAUCGAUCAGUUGAGGGCCUGUGAUCGUAGUUACCAACAUGGAGACAGCUGAAUCCGAUGUGGACAACAUACAGGAACCUCCUCGUGUAGAAAGGAUUGUCUGUUGGCUUGAAGUUAAUGCAGUAAUGGAGUCCUGGGACCAGGAUGAGAUACAGCAGGACAAUUUGAAUAACAAGAAAGAAACUCCAAUAAAAGUCCUUUGGUAGUUGCCAAAAAUGGUCUAGUGCAAGAAUUUAACCAAUCGCUAAAGGAAAGGGAGUCAUUGGGUUUUUUUGUUUGUUUGUUUGUUUGUUUUAAUUAUUUUUUAGAGCAAGAGAGAGAGAAAGAGAGUGUGAGUGGGGGAGGGGCACCGAGAGAGGGAGACCUAGAAUCCGAAGCAGGCUCCAGGCUCUGAGCUGUCAGCACAGAGCCCGAUGUGGGGCUCAAACCCACAAACCAUGAGAUCAUGACCCAAGCCGAAGUCGGACAGUCAACUGACUGAGCCACCCAGGUGCCCCAAUAAAGGGAUUGUUUAAAGCACCCAUUUGAGUACUCAUGUUAGGUAGAAACCCAGAAAUACAUUUGUGGUAAUCUGGAACAAUACACAGCAUUGUUUUUAUGAGAGCACAACUUCCACCUUGUGCAGCAGCGAAAACAUCUAAUGCCCUUCUAUUUUACAGAGCUGUGCUGCGUGUCUGCGCGACUUCAGUGUUGAGUAAGCAGAUGCUGUUUUGUGAGUUAUUGAAUGCCCCUACGGUCUAGUUAUCGAGGGCUUCCACAUGCCAAAUGACACUUUUUAACCCUACACGUGGAACAAAAAUGGAUGCCAAGUGAUCAUGACAGCGGAAACAGGUCCUGCCCACUUUUGUUUUAAAUCUGGAAGGUCAGCUGGGGCAGCGAUGGUUUUAAUAAGGCGCCCAUGAAUCCAGGCAAAUUCUAAGGUGCAGUGAUCUAUCUAUUCAUCUUGGAGAAAGCAAGGGCCAUAGGUAAGUACUACGUAUCAUAUGUAUCAUUUCUUUGUUCCCUGCCUAAAAUUGCCCUUUGUGACUGAGCGAGCCCAUGGUGAGUGUGAGCCAUAAAUAUGCAUCCCAAAUUUGACAUAUGCCAUCCACAGUAUGCUGAUAAGUGGGGAUUUGUAACUUAAGCCCUCGUUGGUGGGUAUUACCUUGUGGGUUUGUAAAAUCAGCUACUACCGUCACAGGUUGAGGAUAUGAAAAAGUCCAGUUAUGUCCUGGUAAAUUCCAAGACAUCGCUCCUGGACCAGAAAGGAACAUUUUGAUUAGUGAUAGACUUCUUUUGAAACAUCGUAUCUUUCUAUGCUAUUUUUGAAAUCCAAGUACAUAGAGAGUGCCAACCAAUACCCUGUAAAGGGGAGACCCACCAUGGUAACCCAGAUGUGCUUGACAUGGGCAAAACUCUACGUAUCCAGCAAGCUGUCUGACUUUGGGGUUCAGCACUAAUGCUGUGCCCAUUGUACAAAGGAAUCGUUAGUAUAAAUUGGGGAAAGGAGAAUGAGAAAGGAAAGGCUCAACCAUUAUAAGACAGGUUUGAGGUCUUGCACAGUUUCACAGGAAGAUAAAGGCACAUAUGGUUUGUUCAUUGACUUCCUGUAAAGGGGGUAUGGGUUUUAUUUAGAUACAGGGGCUCAUGAGGAGUUCUCCUCUAACUGUACUGCAGUGGGAGUAUAUAAUAAGACUCGUUGGGGGCACUUUUAUUUUGGAGUUAAAUCCCCUGCUGUAUUAGACUUUUAAUCCUCUAAAUAAACAAGGCCUCCUGGGUUUAUAUGAUGUGAGUUUCUAGUAAUCACCGGGUCAGGUUUAGGAAGGAUACGUUAGAUUCAGGUGAAUAAUUUCAUAAAGCUCUAUAGUCUUUAUCUACUGAUAGGUUUACAGCGAGAAAAGUCUUUUUUAUGUAUGAUUGCUAGGGGAGUCCUUCCCAUUUUCCCGUUGUUCAAAUAAUCCUAUGCCCAUUGAGUCCUAUUAUUAUCCUCACAGAAUAAGAAGCAAAAAGAUUGUCCAUACCUGUGCUAUUGUGACAAUAUCUCUGAAGUGCCUCAAGUUGUCCAGCUUAGGCAAACAUUUAAAGAAUAUCAGAGCUAGAAUUUAGUAUCCAUUAAGGUCUAUUAUUGAAACCUAAUUUUUCUCCCUAGUAACCCUCAUUUCCAGAGAUGGCCAAAUCCAGCCUAAUUCGCUUGUAAAACACAUCUAGUUUGAUAAACUUGGCCUAAUUAUUCAGAUAAGCUCAGCAAGAAUAGCGAUCGAGUAUAAGGAUCUUUUAAAGUUUGCUUUGCUGGAACCUUUUAUAGGGAAUCUCUAGAUUGAACUUUUAGUAGCCUCUACAGGCCAAAAGCCAAGCCAAGCACUUGCCAUCAGACAUGGCUGCAAUACCUGUGGAAUUGGGUGAAUUCCUCUUCACGAGGUCCCCAAGCUAUCCUGAGGUUCCUACACCUGCCAGGAAGUGACAUGUUUUACGCAACUGGUAAGGCUGCUGGGAACUCUGUGAGCAAGGUUUCAGGCCAACAUUUCCAAAGGGCUUUAUGGCUCCCUGUUUCAUAAAGUCAACCUUAGUUUCUUAGAGCUGCAUGGUCAUGUCUGAGUCUACUCAUGUCUCUCAAACAGGACAUUCCGGUCAAAGCCUUGGUAAAAUAACCGUAUUUCCAAUGGCAUCCUGUUGCAAGCAGAACAGAUUCUUACUGAACUUAUGCAAAUGAUUCUAAUUGUUGUGAACAGAUACUCACUGAGGGUCUUUGAAUUGUAGAGGGUUUAGGUAGAGAGAAAAGUUAAAUGCUCCAGUGUGUACACAAAUGAAUACUCCAUCACAUUUCCCUUUGUCAUAGGUACCUUAAGAGAAAGUUCCCUUCAUCUGGAAGAGCAAACAUUAAAGGACCGGCAAUAUGUCCAACGAGAGUCACAAAACUCGAACCUCUUCCUCACUUCAUUUAGUCCACUGUUCCUAAUUCUUGUCCAGUUUGAAGGCAGCUUCUCACCCAUUUAAGUAUUCAUCUUGGAGAUGUCAAAUAUCUCUCUUUGUCCUAAAAAUCCUUUUUAUUAAUCUCCUUGAAGAUGAGUAUCAGAACCACAACUAUAAAUGACAAAAUGUCAGAAAUGGACAUGUUCACCAUAUGAUAUGAGAGUUCAUUAUGAUGCAGUUAGCAAGGUCAUCCAGUGUUCAAAGACACAUAAUACUUUGAUAGUCAGAGUACCAAAGGAAGACCCUAUACCAAAACAUUAAAAGUUUAGGAAUCACAUAUAUAUUUGAACGGUUCUAGCAUUUACCCAUGCAAUACCAUUAUUUGUUGGAAAGUGGUUCCAGAGUAACUUAAUAUGCCGGAAAAUGCCUAAUUGGUAAAAAAAACAAAAAAAAAAAACAAAAAAAACCCCACUUCAUUUAUGAUUUAAAUGCGGGAAAGUUUGCUAAAACCUCAGUAAGCUACAAAGCACAUCCUAAAUAGGAUUACAGAUCAUUACAAAUCGUCAAACUUUGCAUUAUUUAUGUAACCAGGAUGGCAACAAGAGAUCCCAAAGGCAAACAUGUAAGGUUAUACAGUUGUUAGCAAAACUUAGCUCCUUUAACACUGAGAAGUUUUAACUAAGUAAUUAAAGACUUGAUGAAAGAGGAACCCUAAAGCUUUGGUUUUUUUCCCAAAGAGAAAAAACUCUUUGUUUGCAUUUUCUUAUCAAGGGCAGACCAGCAAUCCAAGAAAACUUUGACUUUGAACAGAGAGAAAAGCAGAAUUUCAACUUUAUACCAGUGUACUUUUUUUUUUUAAUGUUCAUUUAUUUUGAGAGAGACAAAGAGAGACAGAGCAUGAACAGGGGAGGAGCAGAGAGAGAGGGACACACAGGCUCCAGGCCCCAAGCUGUCAGCACAGAGCCCCACAUGGGGCUCGAACCCACGAACCGUGAGAUCAUGACGUGAGCCAAAGUCGGACACUCAACUGAGUGAAGCAUUCAGACGCCCCCAACAUGAGCUUAUUUGACCUUUAAUAAACCUAGAUAGAAUAAGUUUCAUAUUUAAUGCUGAUAACCCUAAAGACAUGUAUAUCUUAAUUAAAUUAAAUCAACAAACUUAAAUUAGUUUAAACACCAAAUAAGUUCCACCGGUAUCCACUUACAAGACAAUAUGUUCCCCAUUGUCAAUUUUUUAGACUUGGGACACUGGUGGGGAAACCUGAAGUGGGUGGUCCCAGGGGGUGCUCUUUGCUCCUUGACCUUGAGGGAGGAGCUGAUGGUGCCUGAGGCACUGAGGGUGGUAUAGAAGACAGUUGUGUAGGUCUCACCCAAGGUGGUGCAGAAACAGGAGGAGGGGGAUAAGACUGAAGGGGUGAGGUUUGGCCAAGAAGCCUAAAGGUAGAUAAAAGCCCAGAGAGCGGAGAGAGGGGGGUCUCCUGGUACUCAAGCCUGUCAACUUGAACAGAUGAGCAGAUGGCAUGUUUUUUCCACCAAAGAAGAAUUAGGCGGUCCGUGUCAGGCUGGAGAAGAUAGGGAAUUUCCCUAAAAUGAAUGGAGUUUCGGCAGCUGCUUGGGAAUAUUCCGUAAAGUCCCAGACCCGAGGGAGACUAAUCACAAUUACCUCCAAUUGUAGCCGUUAACCCAGGAAAUGAAUGAGGGAGAAGCCCUCACACCAGUUAGGAGGAGGAACAGAGAGAAAGAGUCAGCGUCCCCUUGGUUGGAAAUGGCCUGAGUUUCCUCCAACAGCCUGGAUUCACUUAGAGGAGGCCUAUCUAAACAUCCAAUAUGUCAGGAGGGAGUUUACCAGCCAAAUACACUUUGGCAAACACAUUCUGUAAGAGGCCUUUGGGUCUGGGUCGUGAUUUAGAGCUGUGAAGGCCUGGACCUAGGGUACCUCUGUCCAUUUGCCCUGUUUACUGCAGAAGAGAUAUGCUAGAUCCUACGGACGCCAUGCAGUAUUACAGGAGAUCAAUCCUUUCCUAAAUUUUGCAAUCCAAAUUGUUUCCAGUGGGAUAAAAGACAUCCCAGGGGAGACUCCUUGGAGACAGAGGAGGAGCUCCCAUGCUUCUCCUAGAGAGAAAGCCUCUAUUAUCCUGACAACCGCCCCACCCCCCGGCUCCCUGGUGGUGUCCCAGGCACAGGAAACGUCAGAGGUUCCCGGUGCCAAAGCGACCCGACACAACCCUCAAACGAAAUCGCUAUGACCACCGACUAGCCGACUAAGGGCUCCUAAAAGAGGGAUGUUAGCAUCCCUUCGCUUCCCCCAGACUACAGAUGGGUGUCUGACGUAUGGACCAAAUUUGCCUUGCUGAGAAGGACAGUCAACUGUCAUUUAGAGCCCGUGGAAAACACUGGAAAAGUUUUGCAAGGGGGAAUGACCCAAUUUGGUAAUUUAAGUAGCAGUUAAUAGAGGACACUGAUUGAAAACAGUAAAGGCAGAAAUCCACCAUGAUCUAAGUGACAUUCCAACACGUAAGGUCUUCACAGCCAACUCCCUAAGAAACGGUCCCCGGUUCAAUGUUCUUUCAAUCGAGUAGUGGUUCCGCCAGCUCUCCGUGGGAGGUUCCGAGGCUGGAAGCAGCUAGACCAGAAAUGUGGAGGGGAUCACCUUAGACCAAUGAGGAAGAUACCUCACACGGGAAUCAUAAGAUUGGCAGCCGUGUUGGUCCACUUGGCUACCAAUCUUGUGCAGGUGGCUGUCCCAUGCACAAGACAGACAACGUUGCCUGAGGACAGGAAUAAAGAGAGGGCACCAAGUUUCUGGGUCUCAUUACCACCCCACCCAGGGUAGUAACAUCCAGCCAAAAGACAGGCUUUCUCCUCCCCAUAGAGUAGACACGGGCUAGAGGAUUGCAGCCUGAGCAAUCCACAUGAAAAGGGUUCCAGUAAGACCAUACUUCGCGAAAAGCCCCUAAAAUGAGAGUAAAGGAAGAAAAGACAAAGUACCUCAGGAGUGUCUGAGCAAUGUCACCUAUAUCCCACCAGGGGGUGGGGAGUGCUAGCUUCUAUUUUGCUCUUAGCCUGACUUACGCUCCCUCAACACUAGGGCUGAGGGAGGAGGGGUCUGGACUUCAGGGUCCCUGGUUCUUACCCUGCUUCAGGUCCCAACAGCACCCCAGGGCCCUGGCUCCGUUGGCCCUGGUUGCUUCCUGACCCCGCUGUUCCCCUUCAGCCUUUGCCUCUGCCCAGGCUCCCAGUACUGGCUGGGGAUCCAGAAAAGACAAGAUCAAACCUGGCAGGAAGAGCUGGGAGGGGGCGUCCUGUGAGAGGAUGGGCCUGAGGGAGGAGAUCUGGGUAGGGCUGGUCCUUCCCCACUCCUUGAUUCCGGAAUUACAUCUCAGCCAGGUGGCCCUGUCAUGAUGAAGGGACGCAUGUUCCCAGGCUCUCCUUCUAGGACGGGAGACCAGCCCCAGAGUUCUCCUCUCGGAAACCAAGAGUGAGGAUCAGAGCAGAGGAAAUGAGUCCGGUAUUUAGACAACCAGAUAAAUCUUUAUUUGUGCCACGGUACUGUGGCCUUUUCCUUCGGUACCUUCGGCACCUGCUCCUGUGAAGGCUGACUCUUUGGGACCUAGCCCUAUGGAAGACCCGCCCUGUCAGCGGAGAACCAGGUAUUCAUGGAAUCGAUCACCUUCGCAGGCCGAAAGCAAAGGACGCUGGGGGAGGGUGGGGUGCAAAUAGCAGAACCAGAUUAGGUCCUGAGUGAGGGACACUCCUCUCAGCCUCCCUAUAUUGGAUCUUAUUCUCGCAAUGACCCCAACUUAGUCGGCAGAGGUAAGCCCCACCCCAUCCCCAAGAGAACAACCUCCUCCAUUUGGACGGUGGACAUCCCGCCCCUCGCUCCAAGCCCUGACUUCUUCAGUGGGCGACUCACACGGUGAGAAUGCCAAUGAUCAGCACCACAAAGCCCCAGAUCAGCAGCCCUAUCAGACGGCCUCUCAGCCUAUUCUCCGUCUUCGGGUACUCUGCCCUCCCGACAGUUAGGGACAGGUCAUGCCAGAUCUCAGCCAGGGUUCCACUGGUUGAUGACCGGGUUACAAACAUUGAAGGCUGGGUUACAAAGGUUGAAGACUUGGACGUUGUCUCCGCAAUGAUUCUUUGAGGCAACACUGACGGAAGAAAGGGAAAGAGCAGACCUGAGAGGGUCCCGAGGGCCCUUCGUGGCCCAGGCAAGCUAUCUCCACGCCAACCUUCCCCAAACCUAGGCCUUCUAGGAGAUCAUCAGGACCCUAACUGCAGGAAGCAUGGUCCAGGUGAGCAGUGGCCACGCCCAGGACAGGAAGCCACACCCCCAUGGCCUGAAUCCACAUCCCACAGGGAAGUUUUAACCCGCAGGCCACGCCCUGAAGAUGGCUGUACCCAAAACCCACGAAACUGAACCCCACACUUCUGUCGACUCCCCAGCACUGACCUGUGACUUCAAAAUGGAUGAUCGUGGAUGGGCCAUGUCGCUCAGUACCCAACUCGCAGCGGUAGGUACCUGCAUCCUCUGGCCCCACGAGGGGCUUGGUCAGGGUGGGUCGUUUCCCCUUGUACGCCAAGGUCUCAGAAUUGCUCCCCCAAACCUAGACCCAGGUUCAAGAGAUCACAGAGGCCUGGGGAAUUCAGGCCUUAGGGAGAACAGAGGAGAGAUCAUCACGGGAUCUCAGUGGGGAAGAUGGGAAUCCAGGGUGUACUGGUAAGGGCGUGGGGUCCCCAGGGAUCCGUAGAAGGCAAACCUGGUAGGUCAUGGGUCAUGGGGAUUGUGGGAACAAGCUUGUGGAUACAGGGGUCGGCGCUCACACAAGCCUAAUGGACUUGGGGUUGAAAGUCCCACCCUGUAAAAGCUGUAGUUGGUCAGGCCUUCAGAUAAUUUAUGCCAGUUGAGCUCACAGUCCAGGACCAAGUCUUCCUUUUCAUGGACGUUGAUUUGGCGCACUGGGGACAAGGGUUAUGGUGGGGUGCUUCCUCAUGGUUCCAGGCACUCCAUCCACUCCCUCCCACUGGGUCCAGGCCCUUCUUUGCUAACAGGCGGGGCUUCAGUCUCCGCCCUGUCAAGACUCCAUCUCUCCUCUGGCUCCGCCUCUCCUGCGCCAACCCCUCCCGUUGGCCCCAGCCUCUCACCUCCGCAAUCUGUGGACUUUCGACAAAGGUAAAGGUGCUUUCUGCAUAUGUGGCACCAGAGCAGAAGCUGCAACAUCGUACCUGAGGGGAGAGAUCAAGGCUCUAUUUAUCCUAACAGAGGAGGCUAAAAGUAGAGGGCAGGGUCAAGGGCUGGGGAGGGAUCAGGCAUCUAAUCUCUAGAGGUCAGCCCAAGGGGCGGGGCUAGAAGGCAGACCUGCAUGAAGAGGGAUCUAACUGGGCUCAGUGAGGAGCCCACAUGGAAUAGGACCCGUCGCCCAGGAAGUCCGCUGUGCAGAAGGACUACUGGGGACCAGGAACCUCUCAGACGUGGGGAAGGAAGAACCGUCGAGACCCAAAGCAGGAGGAGAAAGGCUGGGUAUUCACGGGGCAAGGAUGAGGGAUAAAAAACCAUCUUCCAUAAUCUGGACUCACCACAUUUGUUGGGACAGAAAUCUGCCUCAGAAGGAAGAAAAAAAUAACGGUAUCAGGUUUCUAAGCUAAAGGACAUGAGAGAGGGGGAGAAGGAAUAGGUGGGGGUUUGGGCUCUUGGGUUGGAGGGAGGAAGGGCCCGGGUGCCUGGAGGUCUGGGUCCAAGGGAGGGCGCGGUCGGGAGAGGUAAGGGGAUGGACGUAGAAAGCAGGGGCUGGGGACAUAGACCCUGGGACUGGUGGAGGAAGGGGCUGUGGUCCCGUACAGGACCCAUAUUCCCUCACCCUCUCUUUGGAACCGAACGACGUAGCUCUGAAAGCUUUCUUUUUCCCGAGUCAACAUCUCGGAGAACUCCUUCUCUAAAGUGUCAUCUGGAAAGCAGCAGGGUGACAGGGAGUGCGAGCCCUCCGCUCCCCACCCCAGGAGUGAGGUACAGGAAGUUUGUCUCUGUCUGAAGGGCACGCCAAUUCCCGUUGGGGACUUCUCAGGGAGCGACAAUGAAAUUGAAUGACCACUUAACCACGCCGGCCACUGAGCUAAGCGAGGGCUGGUGUCCAGGCACCGUUAUGAUCCAUUUUAGACGUGGAAAACUUCCUUCCCGCAAAGCCACACAGCUAGGGGAUGACUGGGCAGGUAUUUGAAGCUAGGCAGGUUGACUCCAGAGCCAAAGAUUCUGGAGCUUCUCCCCCUGCCCAUCUGUGUGCAUUUACCUCUUAAACCACGGUUUGUGAUAUAUUUCACACUCCUCAGAAAACUCAAGACUGACGUUUCCAUUGUGGCUUCAUCUGGAGGGACACAGGGGAUGCGGGGAGGGGAGACAGAACCUCAGAUUCCAAACCUUAAGCUCUCUUGGCUCAGCUAGCGUUACAAACAACAAUACCCAUGUGGCCACUGGGCAAGGAUGGGGCUGUAAAGCGAUUGCCCGCCCGUUGCCUGCUGGGAGUUGUAGUUUUUAUCCAAAAUGGCAAGGUAAGGCGUAGGGGAAGUGUAUUCCUAGCCCUGGCAAGGCCUGGAUUCUGCAUCCCAGCCUUCCCCAUGCCUGAACCCAGUAGACUCUGCCUUCAGCUCUUCCCCCCCCCCGCCCCUAGCAGUCCUAGGACUAGACCCCUCGUUUCCCAUGACCCAGGGUUCCCACGCUCUACCCUGCCCUCACCGAUAACCCCGAUAAAGGAACGCUGUAAAUUUGGCAGUUUGGUGAAAUUCCCCACGGUUGCUCCUAUCGUUCUCAUCACUUCUCUGUGACGCUUGGGCGCCAGGUGGGUAGGCAGGUAUUCCUUAUCGAAGGAGUCCAGCGCGGCCACCACCCUUCGAUCACACGUGACACAGCUCCGGGCAGGAAGCAGGCAGCCGGCUAGCGCCGCCACCAGGAGGGCAACUUGGGGACCCAUUUCCCCAGGGCGCUCAGCCCCAGCAGAACCCACCAGGACCAUCUGGACUUUAUGGGGAGGGUCCGCCCACCCCACACGGAGGAGGAAGUGAUCGCUAAAGGGAAAGAACCCUUUCCCCGAGACAAGACCCCCAAUUUGUUGGGCUCCCCCUUCUCGGUUAGGAAACCGAGGAGUCCGGAGUCCCGAUGCACACUGAGCAGCCGCUGCCCGACCUUGAACUUGUCCGUUGACCCUCGAAUACAACUAGGGUUUGCUGAAGAGCGGAAUCCAGGCUGAGGGCAUUCAGAGGGACGAGCCGGCCACGUCCUUCCGGCUCUGUUACGCCACGACUGAAAUUAAGGAUGUUGUUGGAGCGAAGGUGAGGUGGCUCACGUGAUGCAGAGAGCUUUAUGACUGGAGUCAGACCUGAAGAUCGCCUCAAUGUGCAAGGAAAUCCCACAGCGUUUCCCUUCUAGCUUUCCACACAGGCCCCCGACUUACCUAGAGACAAUCCAGGAGUGUCCUUGGCCCCGCCCACAAGCCCAACUCUGAGUCUGAUUGGACGGCAACAAAGGGAGGCUCCGCCUAUAGUUCCAGGAUAACGCCCUCCGCCCCCUCUCUACUAGAACUUUUUUCUGGUUCCUCCCAGAUGAGGCCCCCGUGUGGUCGCGUUGGGGUGGAGGGGGUGGGGUCAGACUAAAGAGUCUCGGUGGAGGAGAAAGAUGGGAGCUUAGCUCCUGGGAACUGGCGUGGAAGAUGGCUGGGGACUUGCUCUUGGGUCUGGUGGAGGAGGCGUGUGGACCCCCGGGUCCCUGCUUCAGGUCCCAACAGCACCCGGCGCCCUGGCUCCGUCGGCCUGGUUCGUUCAGACCCCACUGUUCCUAUUCAGCCUUCGCCUCUGCCCCGGCUCCCAGCACUGGCUGGGGGACAGGAAAAGGCAGUGGAAACCCACUGGAAGAGUGUGGACGGGUUGUCAUGUGAGGGGGCGGGCCUGGGGGAGGAGAUCUGGGUAGGGCUGGCGCUUGAUUCGGGAAUCACUCCUUGAUUCUGGAAGUGCAUCUCAGCCAGGUGGCCCUGCCACGCCGAAGGGACCCGGGUUCCCAGUCUCUCCUUCUAGGACAGGAGACCCGCCCCAGAGCUCUCCUCUCGGGAAGCCAAAACUGAGAAUCUGACCGGACAAAAUGAAUCCGAUAUUUAGGCAACCAGAUAAAUCUUUAUUUAAGCCUUGGUGCUGUGGCCUUUUCUUCGUUCGGUACCUUGGGAAGCUGGGUCUGUGACACCUGGCUCUGUGAUAGCUGGGUCUGUGACAGCCGACUUUGUGGACCCUGGUCCUCGGGGGCUGCUGCCUUGUCGGUACGGACCCAGGACUUGACCGAAUCGAUCAGGGCCCCAGACCUAAAGCAAAGUACGCUGGGGAAGGGUGGGGUGCAAUCGUGUAAGCAGAUUAGGUCCUGAGUGAGGGACACCCCUCCCAGCCUCCCUAUAUCUGAUCCUUUUCUAUGACCCAAGCUUCGCCGCCCUGGGUAAGCACGCCCCUCUUUUCUAAGCCCCUCCCCCUAACACCUCCUCCUACGUUAGGACGUCGGAGACCGCGCCCCUCGCCCCAAGCCCUGCCUUCUCCGGGAGGCGGCUCACGAGGUGGCAAAGCCGAGGAGCAGAAACACAAAGCCCCAGAUCAGCAUCUCGAACAGAAAGCCUCUCAGCACGUCCUUGGGAUUCAGACACUCUGACGGCUUGAGGGAUCCAAACCGCUGAUACUGGGUCCCGGGCUUUGAUUUCGGGAUCUCCCCAAUGACUCUUUUGGGCAACACUGACAGAGGAGAGAGAAGGAGCAGUCCUGGGAGGGCCGGUGGUGGCGGCCCAGGCAAGCUCUGUCCACGCCACCCUUCCCCAGGACCCAGGCCUCCCAGGAGAUAAGCACGCCCCUCACUGCCUGAAGCCAGGCCACUGUGAGAGGUGGCCGCACCCUGGGCAGGAAGCCACCCCCCCUUGGCCUGAAACCACACCCCGACAGAAAGUUAGGCCCCCCAGGUCGCUCGCUGAAGCUGACUGCCCCCCAAACCCAGGACCCUGAGUCCCAUACGUCUGUCGACUCCCCAGCUCUGACCUGUGACUUCAAAAUGGAUGACCGUGGCUGGGCCGGAUCGCUCAGUGCCCAACUCGCAGCGGUAGUUACCCGCAUCCUCUGGCCUCACCAGUCGCUUGAUCAGGGUGGGCCGUUUCCCCUCGGACACCAAGGUCUCAGAAUUGCUCCCCCAAACCUAGACCCAAGCUCAAGGGGUCACAGAGGCCUGGGGAAUUCAGGGUUUGGGGCAGUACAGGUGUGAGGGCAUCACGGGCUCUCAGUGGGGGAGAUGGGAGUCCAGGGUNNNNNNNNNNNNNNNNNNNNNNNNNNNNNNNNNNNNNNNNNNNNNNNNNNNNNNNNNNNNNNNNNNNNNNNNNNNNNNNNNNNNNNNNNNNNNNNNNNNNNNNNNNNNNNNNNNNNNNNNNNNNNNNNNNNNNNNNNNNNNNNNNNNNNNNNNNNNNNNNNNNNNNNNNNNNNNNNNNNNNNNNNNNNNNNNNNNNNNNNNNNNNNNNNNNNNNNNNNNNNNNNNNNNNNNNNNNNNNNNNNNNNNNNNNNNNNNNNNNNNNNNNNNNNNNNNNNNNNNNNNNNNNNNNNNNNNNNNNNNNNNNNNNNNNNNNNNNNNNNNNNNNNNNNNNNNNNNNNNNNNNNNNNNNNNNNNNNNNNNNNNNNNNNNNNNNNNNNNNNNNNNNNNNNNNNNNNNNNNNNNNNNNNNNNNNNNNNNNNNNNNNNNNNNNNNNNNNNNNNNNNNNNNNNNNNNNNNNNNNNNNNNNNNNNNNNNNNNNNNNNNNNNNNNNNNNNNNNNNNNNNNNNNNNNNNNNNNNNNNNNNNNNNNNNNNNGCUCUCUCACCCCCACAAUCUCUGGAUUUUCGACAAGCGUGAAGCUGCUUUUUACAGUUACUGCACCAGAUCAGAAGCUGCAACAUUGUACCUGAAGGGACAGGAUCCAGGCUGUAUUCGCCCUGAGAGGCGAGGCUAAAGGCAGGGCCAAGGUCGGGGGCGGAGGCAGGCGCCUAAUCCCUAGAGGUCAGCCCAAGGGGCGGGGCCAGAAGGCAGUCCUCCCUGAAGAGGGGUGUAACCAGUCUCAGGAAAGAGCGCCCAGAGAAUAGGACCCGUUGCCCAGGAAGUCCGCUGUGCAGAAGGACUACUGGGGACCAGGAACCUCUCAGACGUGGGGAAGGAAGAACCACCGAGACCCAAAGCCGGAGGAGAAAGGCUGGGUAUUCACGCGGCAAGGAUGAAGGAUAGAAAACCAGUUCCCAUAAUCCGGACUCACCACAUUUGUUGGGACAGAAAUCUGCCUCAGAAGGAAGAAAAGAGAAUUAUCAGAUUCCUGUUAAAGGGGAUGGGGGGGGGGGGCAGGAAUAGGUUGGGUUUGGGCUCUUGGGUUGGAGGGAAGAAGGACCCGGGUGUCUGAAUCUCUGGGUCCAAGGGAGGACCGGGUCGGGAGAGGUGAGUGGUUGGACAUAGAAAGCAGGGGGCUGGGGACAGGGUCCCUGGGCCUGUUGAGGGAAGGGGCUGUGGUCCCUGACAGAAGCCAUCUUCCCUCACCCUCUCUUUGGAAUCGAGUGACGUAGCCACGAAAGGCUGCCUUUUCCAGAGUCAACAUCCAGGAGAACUCCUUCACGAAAGUGUCAUCUGGGAAGGAGCAGGGUGACAUAGAGUGGUACCCCUCCCCCGCCCACCGCAGGAGGAGAUACAGGAAGUUCCUUCUGUGUGAAGAGAUUGGCAUUCCGCGUUGGGGCCACCUCAGGGAGGGACAAUGAAAUUGAAUGACCACUUAACAAUGCUGGCCACUGAGCUAAGCGGCCCCUGGCCUGCAGGCACCGUUAGGACCCAUUUGAGAGGUGACAAAGUUGCAAAGCCCCUCCCUACAGGCCACAGAGCUAGGGGAUGACCGGCCCGGAAUUUGAACCGAGGCAGGUGGGCUCCAGAGCGACUACCAGACCCGUCCUCACCAACAAUCAUUUCUCGAAAAGUUUCUGGAGCCCCUCCCUUGGCCCCUAUGUGGAUUUACCUGCUACAUCACUGUUUCUGAUAAGUCUCACACUCCGCAGAAAACUCAAGACUGACGUUUCCAUUGUGGCCUCAUCUGGAGGGACACAGAGGAUGCGGGGAGGGGAGCUAGAACCUCAGAUCCCGAGCCUUGAGGUCUCUUGGCUCAGCAGGUGUUAAAAACUACAAUACCCAUGAGGCUACUGGACCAGCCCAGGGCUGUAAAUGGCUGGCACGCCCGUUGCCUUCUGGGAGUUGUAUUUUUUUUUCCCACGUAAAAUUGCCACGUAAGGACUAGGGGAACAGUGUAUUGGUCUGCCCUGGGGAAGGCCUGGAAUCUGCAUCCCAGCCUUCUCCAUUCACGAACCCAGUACAGUCUCCCUCCAGUCUUUCGCUUCCUUCCCUCCUGCCCGCUCCCGCAACAAUCCUAGAACGCAGACCCCUCUUUUCCCUCCACCCCUGGAUUCGCACUCUCUACCCUGCCCUCACCGAUAACCCCCAGAAAGGUAUCCUCUAAAUCCGGCAGGUCCCGGAAAUCCCUCACGGUUUGUCUUAUCUUUUCCAUCACUUCUCUGUGACGCUCGGGCGCCAGGUGGGUAGGCAGGUAUUCCUUUUCCAAGGCGUCCAGCGCGGCCACGACCCUUCGAUCACACGUGACACAGCUCCGGGCAGGAAGCAGGCAGCCGGCUAGCGCCACCACCAGGAGGGCAACUUGGGGACCCAUUUCCCCAGGGCGCUCAGCCCCAGCAGAACCCCGGGGAGGGUCCGUCCACCCCACACGGAAGGGGUGAUCGCUGACCGGAAAGAACCCCUUCCCCGAGAUUAAGACCCCCCAAUUUGCAGGGCUCCCCCUUUUCGGUUAGGAAACCGAGGAGUCCGGAGUCCCGAUGCACCCUAGACAGCCGCUGCCCGACCUUGACCUUGAAUGUUGCACCCUGGAAUACUAGGGUUCGCUGAAGGGCCGAAUCCAAGCUGGGGGCCUUUGGAGGGGACGAGCAGGCCACGUCCUUCCACUCUAUUUGCCACGGCUAAAAUUGAGGAUGUUGUGGAUCGAGGGUGAGGUUGGUCACAUGACGUGGAGAGCUUUAUGACUGGAGUCAGACUCGAAGGUCACCUCAAUCCCACAGAGUCCCUCUUCUUCCUUUCUCCUUGGGGCGCCGACUUCUCUAGUGACACUCUGGGCGAGUUUCCUUGGCCCCGCCCACAAACCCAACUCUGAGUCUGAUUGGGCGGCAACAAAGGGAGGCCCCGCCUAUUGUUCCAGGAUCUCGCAGACAGACCCCUCUCUGACUAGAACUUUCAUCUCGUCUUCCCAGAUGAGGCCCUUGUGCGGUCGCGUUGGGGUGGAGGGGGCUGGGGUCAGACUAAUGAGUCUGGGUGGAGGAGAAGGAUGGGAGCUUAACUCCUGGGAACUGGCGUGGAAGAUGGCUGGGGACCGGCUCUUGGGUCUGAUGCAGGAGGGGUGUGGACCCCUGGUCCCGCGGUUCUUACUCUGCUUCGGGUCCCACCAGCACCUCGGCGCCCUGUCUUCGUUGACCCGGGUUGGUUCUUGACCCCUCUGCCCCGGCUCCCAGCCCUGGCUGGGGGACAGGAAAAGGCCAGAGGAAACUGGGCUGGAAGAGCGGGGAGGGGGCGUCCUGUGAGGGGGCGAGGCUGGGGGAGGAGAUCUGGGUAGGGCUGGCCCUUCCCCACUCCUCGAUUGGGGAAUUACAUCUCAGCCGGGGGGCCCUGCCAUGACCAAGGGACCCGGGUUCCCGGGCUCUCCUUCUAGGACAGGAGGCGAGCCCCAGACCUCUCCUCUCGGAAAGCCAAAAUGAGGAUCAGACCCGAGGAAAUGAAUCCGGUAUUUAGGCAACCAGAUAAAUCUUUAUUUGUGACUUGGUGCUGUGUCGUUUCCUUUCGGUACCUUCGGAACCUGGCUCUGCAGGGCGGCUGCUCUGUUUGUGAGGACCCAGGACUUUAUGGAAUCCAUCACGUUCCCAGGCAGAAAGCAAAGUACGCUGGGGGAGGGCGGGGGGCAGAUAGUGGAACCAGGUUAGGUCUUGAGGGAUAGCCCUCCUCGCCUCCCUAUAUUUGGUCUUACUCCAGCAAUGACCCAGGCUGGAUCAUCGCUACCAUUUUCUAAGGCCUCUCCCUUAAAGGACCCCCUCCUGCAUUGGGAUUUGGAGACCCCGUCCCUCUGUUCGUGCCCCGCCUUCAUCAGGGUUGGCUCACGCGGUGACAAAGCUGAUGAUCAGCACCACAAAGCCCCAGAUCAGCAGCCCUGCCAGAAGGCUUCUCAGCACCUUCUCGGGCUUAGGGUACUCUGAAGGCUGGAGGGUUGGGGACAGCUGCUCCUCGGUUUCAAAGUUUGAUGUCGGUGUCUCCUCUAUGAUUCUCUGAGGCAACACUGAUAGAGGAGAGAGAAAGAGCAGCCUUGGGAGGCCACCAAGGUCCCCCGUGGCCCAGGCAAGCUCCCCCCCCUCCAACCUUCCCCCAAGACCCGGGCCUUGGAGGAGACAAUCGCGACCCUUUCUGCCUGGACCCCGGCCACCGUGGCGGGUGGCCACACCCCCGUGGCCUGAAAUGACACCCCGACAGGAAGUUUUGCCCCAUAGGCCAUGCCCCAAGCUGACUGUCCCCUAACCCCAGGACCCUGAUUCCCACACUUCCGUCGACUCCCCAGCUCUGACCUGUGACUUUAAAAUGGAUGACCGUGGCUGGGAGGGAUCUCACAGUGCCCAACUCACAGCGGUAGUCACCUGCAUCCUCUGGCCCCACCAGGGGCUUGGUCAGGGUGGGCUGUUUCCCCUUGUACACCAAGGUCUCAGAAUUGCUCCCCCAAACCUAGACCCAAGCUCAAGGGGUCACAGAGGCCUGGGGAGUUCAGGGUUUGGGGAAGUACAGGUGUGAGAGCAUCACGGGAUCUCAGUGGGGGAGAUGGGAGUCUAGGGUUACUGGUAAGGGCAUGGGGUCCCCGGGGACCCGUAGAAGUCAAACCUGGUAGGUCAUGGGUCAUGGGGAUUGUGGCAACAAGCUUGUGGAUACCGGGGUGGGCGCUCAACCAAGCCUAAUGGACUUGGGGUUGAUGGGGUUGAAGGGCCCACCCUGUAAAAGCUGUAAUAGGUCAGGCCUUGAGAUAAUUUAUGCCAGUUGAGCUCACAGUCCAGGACCAAGUCUUCCUUUUCGUGGACGUUGAUUUGGCGCACUGGGGACAGGCGGUUACGGUGGGAUGCAUCUUGGUUCUCCCUCAACUCCCUCGCACUUGGUCUUGGCCCCCACUUUUCUGGUGGGCCGGCUCCUUUCUUUGGCCUCUCUAGACCCCGGCUCUCCUCUGGCUCCGCCCCUCUUGAGUCAACCCCCACUCCCUCCAGCUGGCCCCAGCUCUCUCACCACCGCAAUCUGUGGACUUUCGACAAACGUGAAGCUGCUUUUUACAAUUACUGCACCAGAUCAGAGGCUGCAACAUCAUACCUGAAGGGGCAGGAUCAAGGUUGCAUUUAUCCUGAUAGAAGAGACUAAAAGGAGAGGGCAGGGUCAAGGGCUGGGGCGGGGCCCAGCGCCUAAUCCCGAGAGGUCAGCCCAAGGGGCGGGGCUAGAAGGCAGACCUGCCGGAAGAGGGACCUAACCGGGCUCAGUGAGGAGCCCACAUGGAAUAGGACCCGUCGCCCAGGAAGUCCGCUGUGCAGAAGGACUACUGGGGACCAGGAACCUCUCAGACGUGGGGAAGGAAGAACCAUCGAGACCCAAAGCAGGAGGAGAAAGGCUGGGUAUUAACCGGGGCCAGAAUGGGGGAUAGAAAACCAGCUUCCCUAAUCUGGACUCACCACAUUUGUUGGGACAGAAAUCUGCCUCAGAAGGAAGAAAAAAAAAAAAGUGAUGAGAUUUCUAAGUUAAAGGACACGAGAGAGGGGGAGAAGGAAUAGGUUGGGGUUUGGGCUCUUGGGUUGGAGGGAGGACGCUGUUGGGAGAGGUGAGGGGCUGGACAUAGAGAAGCAGAGGACUGGGGACGGGGACCCCGGGACUGGUGGAGGAAGGGGCUGUGGUCCCUGAGGGAACCCAUCUUCCCUCACCCUCUCUUUGGAACCGAGCAACAUUGCGCUGAAAGGCUGCCUUUUCCAGAGUCAACAUCCAGGAGAACUCCUUCACGAAAGUGUCAUCUGGGAAAGAGCAGGGUGACAGAGGGCGACCCCUCCUCCCACCCACCCCAGGAGGAGGUACAGGUACCCGUCUGAAGAGGCUGGCGUUCCAGGUUGGGGCCAUCUCCGGGAGGCGCAGUGAAAUUGAAUGACCACUUAACCAUGCUGGCCACUGGGCUAAGUCACUGGCCUGGGUGCAGGCACCGUUAUGACCCAGUUCGGAGGUGACAAAGCUGUGAUAUCCCUCCCUAAAGGCCACACAGCCAGGGGAUGACAGGGCCGGUGUUUGAACCUAGGCAGUUUGGCUCCAGAGCCAAAGGAUUCCGAAGCCCCUCCCCUGGCCACUGUGCCAUUUACCUGCUAUGUCACUGUUUGUGAUAAGUGUCAUACUCCUCAGAAAACCCAACACUGACGUUUCCAUCGUGGCCUCAUCUGGAGGGACACGGGGGAUGCGGGGAGGGGAGAUAGAACCUCAGAUUCGAAGCCUUGUGGUCCCAUUGGCUCAGCUAGUGUUAAAAACUACAAUGCCCAUGUGGCUAUUGGGCAAGGCUAGGGCUGUAAAGGAUUGCCUGUCUGUUGCCUUCUGGGAGUUGUAGUUUUGUACAUAAAAUUGCAGGGUCAGGGGUAGGAGAACACAGUAUUUCCUAGCGCUCGGAAAGCCCUGGCAUCUGCAUCUCAGCCCUCUCCAUCACGAACCCAGUAGACUCUGGCUCCGGCCCUUCCCUCCCUCCCCGCGCCCCGUCCCUGCUCCCAGGAAUCCUAGCACCAGACUCCUCUUUUUCCACGACCCGGGGUUCCCACGCUCUACCCUGCCCUCACCUAUAACCCCCAUAAAGGCAUCCUCUAAAUAUGGCAGGUCCCAGAAAUUUCUCACGGUUUGUCUUAUCGUUUCCAUCACUUGUCUCUGACGCUCGCGCGCCAUGUGGGUAGGCAGGUAUUCCUUUUCCAAGGCGUCCAGAGCCGCCACGACCCUCUGAUCACAUAUGACACAGCCCCCGGCAGGAAGCAGGCAGCCGGCUAGCGCCGCCACCAGGAGGGCUACUUGGGGACCCAUUGCGGCCACAGCGCUCAGCCCGCACAGAACCCGGGGAGGGUCCUCCCACCCCACACGGAAGGGGUGAUCAGUAACGGGAAAGAACCCCUUCCCCGAGAGUAAGGCCCCCCAAUUUGCAGGGCUCCCCCUUCUCGGUUAGGAAACCGAGGAGUCCAGAGUCCCGCUGCACCCUAGACAGCCGCUGCCCGACCUUGACCUUGAAUGUUGCACCCUGGAAUACUAGAGUUCGCUGAAGGGCCCAAUCCAGGCCGAGGGCCUUUAGAGGGGACGAGCAGGUCACGUCCUUCCACUUUAUUUGCCACGGCUAAAACUGAGGACGUUUCUGGAGCGAAGGUGAGGUCGGUCACGUGAUGUGGAGAGCUUUGUGACUGGAGUCCGAGUCACCGUUUCCCC
rnacentral:lncRNA from 1 species